AAAAAAUCAAAAUCCUUCCCCUACUUUUGAGGGUUUUAAUAUGCAUUAUCUUAUUUUUGUUACCGUUUCCAUGGCAACCAAUAUGGCAUUUUUUGUUUGUUUGCCACUUUAACUUGAUUGUCCGCUUGCCAGCGUUUCGAAAGCAAGUGAUUUACAUAGUACCCUUUGUUGUGUACUACAUAAAGUAUUUGUGCUGUUAUAAUUUGGUGAUUGCUGGCGCUCAUUGCCAUGCCAAAAUUGUGAUCAAAAUUUUCAACGGAAAUGCUAUUUUCGAACGUGAAGAGAAAUCAAAUUCUUCGCUCUUUAAUCUUUGCUUUUUAACAUAAACAAAUGGUUGGACAAAGCUCCAGAUCUUUAUAUAAAAGAAAGAGGAAAGGGACUGUUUCGGGGCGUCAAAGAUACAAGAAAGACGAGGCUUUAAAUUCAUCACGUAGUGACGUUAUCAGACGUCUCAAACAGGCGAAGUUGAUGGUCAAAAUAUCGUUGGAACCUCAAUGAAGAAAGUGCGAGGUGACAGUAAGAAUGCAGAGUCCGAGUUUACGAUUGAGAAUCCUUAAAACUGUCAAGAAUUCUGGGUUAUUAGCAAUUUAGCCUGAACUGUUUGUCCACAGGCCACAGCUGUGUCAAGUAUGCAACACAUUUGUCAAGUGAUUUGUGCUGUUCAAAGGUAAAAUUCCCUUCAAAAGUUUUUUUAUGUUUUCAAUCCACUUAUCUUUUAAUAUAGGUUUAAUUGAUAAGUUGUAUUCAAACAAAAGUAUAUAUGCAUUAUAUUUAUCCUUUGUAUUAAUUUUAAUUAUUUGUAGAUUGUGUUAAUAAUUUAAUAUAUUCCUGAGAUGAUACUCAGUUCUAUGACCCUGUCAGAAUUAAGGAAAUAUGACUCUUGAAGACGUCCCUGACAAACGUUCUGGUCUCAUGUCAGAGUUUGCGUUGGGAUGUGAUUCAUGUAAUGAGUCAAGCAGUUUCACCACAUUGGUCAUAUGCUGCUACUCGGGGAAGGUCACAAGAUAUAAAUCGCUGUGCUGUUUAUCACUCAGUGGAGACUGGCAGUGAUUACGAAGGUCUGGCGUCUUGUUGCAGCAUUUUUAACAUGCCUUGUAUUUCUAGGCCUGCUUACUACAAGCAAGUUGAAGGCAUCAUGGGAUCACUUGAAGAAAAAGCAAAGGUUCCAAGAGAUGAAGCAAGAUAACUGAAGCGAAGAAGUCUGAUUUGCAUGCCACUGAUAAGGAAAAGAGACGACGCCUAUUGCGCACCAGAAGGGAAGAGGCCCUCCGCAAUACUGAAGGAGUGACAUAUGAGGCAGCAGCUUUCUAGCUACUUCUCACAAGGAUCUUAUAGGUUAUUAGAACUUACAAAGACCUUAAACUUUGUAAGAUGAUGAAAUAUUUAACAUUAACCAGUAACAAAAACUGUAAACUCCAUUUUCUCAUUUCGCACUAUUUCAGCGGUCGAGAAAAGAUAUCUUGAGUAGAUUACAAUGGAUAUGGCUAAAAUUUUUAGUGAUUGUUCCACUCAGUCAACUUUGUGUUUUAAGCAGAGGAAUUUGUUCCAUGGCAAAUAUUUUGAAAGUUAUGGCUGUUUCAAUAUUUUAUAAUUCGGUGCUAAAAUCUGAUUGGCCAUAACUUUUUCAUUAUUUAAUGUAUCCAAAUUCUCUCUGCUUAAAACAGUAAACCCUAUAUGUUAGUUAAUUUAAGAUAUAAAAGUGCCAAAUCAUUCAAAUACAGAAUGUGCAAUCCUUUCUUGAAUAUAGCCUAGUCGCAAAUUUGGCAAUCGGCCCAGAGCCACCUUAAUAUGGCUUCUUGUGUGCAGUAAAUAGCUUUUUUAGAUUCCUCAGGGCAUAAGCUUUCUGCCAAUAUAUAGUUUGUGGGGGUUUUGAUGUAAACUUAGUGAACUAUGACGUUUUUCCUUACACCAUAUAUUUAAGGUUAACUCCCCCCUUAAUUUUUAAAAUAAUUAAAAUAAGUUAGAGUUAUGUUAGGGUUUAGGUUAGGGUUAGGUUGGGGUUAGGGUGAGGGUUAGUAUUAGGGUUUAGUUUUGCG